rnacentral:rRNA from 1 species
UACGGAGGGUGCAAGCGUUAUCCGGAUUCACUGGGUUUAAAGGGUGCGUAGGCGGAUUUUUAAGUCCGUGGUGAAAUCUCCGAGCUUAACUCGGAAACUGCCAUGGAUACUAUGAGUCUUGAAUGUUGUGGAGGUUUGCGGAAUAUGUCAUGUAGCGGUGAAAUGCUUAGAUAUGACAUAGAACACCGAUUGCGAAGGCAGCAGGCUACACAAAUAUUGACGCUGAGGCACGAAAGCGUGGGGAUCAAACAGG